rnacentral:ncRNA from 1 species
AAAUAAAUAGGAUGUUAUGAAGGUGUAUCUGUAUGUGGACACUUGGAUAUACUGGAGCAAGUAGUGUAACCGGCCUUUUCUAAG